CCAGAGAUGGCGGGCCCCCGCGCCCCCGUCCCCAACCCUAUGUUGACUUAAACCUUUUGCCUCGGGGGCAGAGCGGCCGCCGCCGCCCCCGGAGGACCACCAAACUCUGUCUCUGUACGUCGGAGUCUUAAUGCAAAUAAAUAA
rnacentral:misc_RNA from 1 species